AGAAAAUUCAUUGGAUUUCAAGGAAUUAAGCAAGUAAAGGUGGUGAAACUUCCGAUAAGGGUAAGGAGAUUGUACUCGAAGACCCAGACUAGGAGUACUUCAACUUCGAUAUUGCUGGGUAGAAAUAUAAUUGCCAUGUCAUGCUGUCG